UACAGAGGUCUCAACCGUUGUUCGGAUUCAUUGGGCGUAAAGGGUGCGUAGGCGGCGCGGUAAGUCGGGUGUGAAAUCUUGGAGCUUAACUCCGAAACUGCAUUCGAUACUGCCGUGCUUGAGGACUGGAAAGGAGACUGGAAUUUACGGUGUAGCGGUGAAAUGCGUAGAUAUCGUAAGGAAGACCAGUGGCGAAGGCGGGUCUCUGGACAGUUCCUGACGCUGAGGCACGAAGGUCAGGGGAGCAAACGGG
rnacentral:rRNA from 1 species